GUUUGUGUAUUGAAUUUUUUAUUUUUAAUAUUAAAGAGCUUUGUUAAACUUAGACUUAAGUUUAGGUCAUUUUGGGGGUUUAGCUCAGUUGGCUAGAGCAUCGGCUUUGCAAGCCGAGGGUCAAGGGUUCGAGUCCCUUAACCUCCAUUGGGCUUAUGUCCUAAAUCGUAAUUAAGUAUGUUUUUAAGUAACUUUGUUAAAGUAAUUGUUGGAACGUGAAACAGAGGAAGUUAAAAUUUCUGGGUUAAGUUGAGAUCUGUUGAUAUUAAGAAGAAUCUCUAGAAGCAAAAGCAAGCUUUCGAUAAAACCCGAAGUUGUUUCGCUAAAGUGCAAGGAUUAAACAGGAUUGUAUUUUCCAGUAGCCUAUUUUAUAAAUGAUCUGCAUUUAGUAAAUAGUUUUUAGUUAAGAAAUAAUGUAGAUUGCUAAGUGUGAUGCCUGAAAGAAGGACAAGUAUUGUAGCGAGCCUAAAUCCUUGUUGUCGUUGCCAGUAUUUAGUGGUAGGGAUUCGGAUAAGACUGCCAUUUAUAAGUUGGAGGAAGGCAAAGAUUGCAUUAAAUCGUUAUCGCUCUUAUGUUUUAGGUUACAAGUUUGCCACAAUAACCCAAAAAAGCUAAGCAAAAUGCUAUAAAGCAGAUUUCAGUUUGGAUUUGCCCGACACUCAAUGGCAUGAAGUUGUAAUUGUUAGUAAUCGUAUAUACCUUAAUAUAGAAAUUGAAUAAAUUUUUGUUUUUUUAAUUAUAGCUUAAAACAGUAUUGUCGUAA
rnacentral:tRNA from 1 species